GCUCAGCUUUACUGAAACCAUGGAGUCCUGUUCUUCAGGGACUGAAACCUAACCUGGAACUCAGGUCACCAAAGGAAAUGACCCAGGCCUCAAGGAAUUUUGAAACACUUGCUCAGGCAACAGCUCUCCUGGAGGCUGGCCAGCACAGGUCACACAAUGGCCCGAGCAACAUUCUGUUGCUUUCACAGAGGCCGCCCUCUGGGACUGUGGAGCAGAGUGCCAGCACCAGCGUCAGCAGAGCAGGCUUCCGGGCUGAGGACCGGUGCUGGAGGUUCCCGGGUUCCCAGAGUAGCUGUUCCCAGUGCCUGAGCACCAGAACAAUACCCGCUACAUCCCGUUACCACCUGGCCUGCACUGCUAGGCAUGGUGCACCUGCCCCACCUGCCCUGCUAAGUCACAGCUCACUGGGCACAACAAAACAUCAGCCAUUGCCAGGGUAGCUGGUGCUACUCAGCUAGUCUCGCUGCGCUGAUCCUUGCUUGCCCCACCAACAAGAGUGUCAAUAAACUUGAGUCAGACUUUCCACUGGAGGUAUUCCAGGGAGGUCUUGCUCAG
rnacentral:lncRNA from 1 species